GAUGAACGCUGGCGGCGUGCCUAAUACAUGCAAGUCGAGCGAACAGACGAGGAGCUUGUUCCUUUGACGUUAGCGGAGGACGGGUGAGUAACACGUGGAUAACCCACCUAUAAGUCUGGGAUAACUUCGGGAAACCGGAGCAAAUACCGGAUAAUAUACUGAACCGCAUGGGUCAAUAGAGAAAGACGGCUUUGCUGUCACUUAUAGAUGGAUCCGCGCCGCAUUAGCUAGUUGGUACGGUAACGGCUUACCACGGCAACGAUGCGUAGGCGACCUGAGAGGGUGAUCGGCCACACUGGAACUGAGACACGGUCCAGACUCCUACGGGAGGCAGCAGUAGGGAAUGUUCCGCAAUGGGCGAAAGCCUGACGGAGCAACGCCGCGUGAGUGAUGAAGGUCUUCGGAUCGUAAAACUCUGUUAUUGGGGAAGAACAGAUGUGGAAGUAAAUAUGCACGUCUUGACGGUACCUAAUCAGAAAGCAACGGCUAACUACGUG
rnacentral:rRNA from 1 species